AGAGUUUGAUCCUGGCUCAGAACGAACGCUGGCGGCAGGCCUAACACAUGCAAGUCGAGCGCCCGCAAGGGAGCGGCAGACGGGUGAGUAACGCGUGGGAACGUGCCCUUUGGUUCGGAAUAUUCCCGGGAAACUGGGAGCAAAACCGGAUAAGCCCUUCGGGGGAAAGUUUACGCCAAAGGAUCGGCCCGCGUUAGAUUAGGUAGUUGGUGGGGUAACGGCCUACCAAGCCUACGAUCUAUAGCUGAUCUGAGAGGAUGAUCAGCCACACUGGGACUGAGACACGGCCCAGACUCCUACGGGAGGCAGCAGUGGGGAAUCUUGGACAAUGGGCGCAAGCCUGAUCCAGCCAUGCCGCGUGGAUGACUGAAGGCCCUAGGGUUGUAAAGUCCUUUCGACGGGGACGAUAAUGACGGUACCCGUAGAAGAAGACCCGGCUAACUUCGUGCCAGCAGCCGCGGUAAUACGAAGGGGGCUAGCGUUGUUCGGAUUUACUGGGCGUAAAGGGCGCGUAGGCGGAUUUUUAAGUCGGGGGUGAAAUCCCGGAGCUCAACUCCGGAACUGCCUUCGAUACUGAAAGUCUGGAGCACGGUAGAGGUGAGUGGAAUUCCGAGUGUAGCGGUGAAAUGCGUAGA
rnacentral:rRNA from 1 species